rnacentral:rRNA from 1 species
UACAGAGGGGGCAAGCGUUGUUCGGAAUUACUGGGCGUAAAGGGCGCGUAGGUGGCCUUCUAAGUUGAACGUGAAAUCCCUGGGCUCAACCCAGGAACUGCGUCCAAGACUGGGAGGCUUGAGUCCGGGAGAGGGAUGCGGAAUUCCAGGUGUAGCGGUGAAAUGCGUAGAUAUCUGGAGGAACACCGGUGGCGAAGGCGGCAUCCUGGACCAAUAUUGACGCUGAGGAGCGAAAGCCAGGGGAGCAAACGGG